AUUGAACGCUGGCGGCGUGCUUAACACAUGCAAGUCGAUCGGUAACAGGUGUAGCAAUACAUGCUGACGAGAGGCGGACGGGUGAGGAAUAUUUGGGAAUCUGCCCAUCAGCGGGGGACAACCCGGGGAAACCCGGGCUAAUACCGCAUACGCUCUACGGAGGAAAGCCGGGGACCGCAAGGCCUGGCACUGAUGGAUGAGCCCAAAUCGGAUUAGCUAGUUGGCGGGGUAACGGCCCACCAAGGCGACGAUCCGUAGCUGGUCUGAGAGGACGAUCAGCCACACCGGAACUGAGACACGGUCCGGACUCCUACGGGAGGCAG
rnacentral:rRNA from 1 species